rnacentral:rRNA from 1 species
GGUACCUACAGAAGAAGUCCCGGCAAACUCCGUGCCAGCAGCCGCGGUAAUACGGAGGGGGCAAGCGUUGUUCGGAAUUAUUGGGCGUAAAGGGCAUGUAGGCGGUUUGGUAAGUUAAAGGUGAAAUACCAGGGCUUAACCCUGGGGCUGCUUUUAAUACUGCAGGACUAGAGUCCGGAAGAGGAUAGCGGAAUUCCUAGUGUAGAGGUGAAAUUCGUAGAUAUUAGGAGGAACACCAGUGGCGAAGGCGGCUGUCUGGUCCGGUACUGACGCUGAGGUGCGAAAGCGUGGGGAGCAAACAGAAUUAGAUACCCUGGUAGUCCACGCUGUAAACGAUGAGUGCUA